UACGUAGGGGGCUAGCGUUGUCCGGAUUUAUUGGGCGUAAAGAGCGUGUAGGCGGCCAGAUAGGUCUGCUGUGAAAACUCGAGGCUCAACCUCGAGAGGUCGGUGGAAACCGUCUGGCUAGAGUCCGGAAGAGGAGAGUGGAAUUCCCGGUGUAGCGGUGAAAUGCGCAGAUAUCGGGAAGAACACCGUGCGUAGGCGGAA
rnacentral:rRNA from 1 species